rnacentral:rRNA from 1 species
UACGAAGGGGGCUAGCGUUGCUCGGAAUGACUGGGCGUAAAGGGCGCGUAGGCGGCUUGCACAGUCAGGCGUGAAAGCCCCGGGCUCAACCUGGGAAUUGCAUUCGAGACUGCAUGGCUUGGGUGCGGAAGAGGGAAGCGGAAUUUCCGGUGUAGCGGUGAAAUGCGUAGAUAUCGGAAGGAACACCAGUGGCGAAAGCGGCUUCCUGGUCCGACACCGACGUUCAGGCACGAAAGCGUGGGGAGCAAACAGG